AUCGUGGAUUCUGCAAUGCAUCACAGCAGAAUGAUAGGAAUGCUGUCCUAACGGGGUGCCCAAUUCUGCUACAGCUUUGGUCUUACGAGAGGAUUGCUAUCGGUCGUCCCAUGAUUGACCAGUCACCGUACACGCCAGAUAUAUACGGUGACACGGAGGACGACAGACCCACCAUGGGGACUCUCUGGUACUCUCGACAGAAAACAUGGGCACAUGUACAGACCCGGCGGUCUUAUCCUGAGUUUGUUGCCGAAUUUGAUCGAUUGACCCCAAAAAAACAUUGUGUGGGAGCCAUAUAGUCCUUCGGCUAUAGCCGCACGUGCACCGCUUGGGAUAUCUUCGGUGUGCACACAGGACCAGGGCCUAUGGAUGACUACUGCAGCUUUGGUGUACGACGUUGCAGUUGAGGCCCAUUGCCCGGAUAGAGUCAUGAGGCAGUUCGGUCGACGCCAGUCUUUCCCUGUGUCUUCAGCGUUGGAUCGUGUUCAACGCCACGAUCAUAGUUUAUCAAGGGCUGGACAUCCUUUCUCGACAAUGUGGGUCACUAGAUUACAACCAUGGGUGGCUGCGUGAGAUGAUGCAGGCGAGCAGUUGGCUGAGGAUACCGGUCCACACACUGAGCCUUCGUUUCGGGUGUACCUGACCUGGUACGAACCGAAGACUCGUUGCCGUUUGACGUAUGUUGACAUGCAUCCACAGCCGCAUGUUGCGACUUCGCAGGAUCCCUAUGCACGACAC